GAUGAACGCUGGCGGCGUGCCUAAUACAUGCAAGUCGAGCGAACAGACGAGGAGCUUGCUCCUCUUACGUUAGCGGCGGACGGGUGAGUAACACGUGGAUAACCUACCUAUAAGACUGGGAUAACUUCGGGAAACCGGAGCUAAUACCGGAUAAUAUAUUUAACCGCAUGGUUCAAUAGUGAAAGACGGUUUUGCUGUCACUUAUAGAUGGAUCCGCGCCGCAUUAGCUAGUUGGUAAGGUAACGGCUUACCAAGGCAACGAUGCGUAGCCGACCUGAGAGGGUGAGCGGCCACACUGGAACUGAGACACGGUCCAGACUCAUACGGGAGGCAGCAGUAGGGAAUCUUCCGCAAUGGGCGAAAGCUUGACGGAGCAACGCCGCGUGAGUGAUGAAGGUCUUCGGAUCGUAAAACUCUGUUAUGAGGGAAGAACAAAUGUGUAAGUAACUAUGCACGUCUUGACGGUACCUAAUCAGAAAGCCACGGCUAACUACGU
rnacentral:rRNA from 1 species